AUGAACGCUAGCGGAGGCCUAACACAUGCAAGCCGAGCGGGAUUCGUUGGUUAGCUUGCUAACUAACGAUGAGAGCGGCGUACGGGUGCGGAACAUGUGUGCAAUCUGCCCUUAUCAAGGGGAUAGCCCGGAGAAAUCCGGAUUAAUACCCUAUAACAUAUGGGAUGGCAUCAUUUCAUAUUAAAAGCUACGGCGGAUAAGGAUGAGCACGCACAAGAUUAGCUAGUUGGUAAGGUAACGGCUUACCAAGGCGACGAUCUUUAGGGGGCCUGAGAGGGUGAUCCCCCACACUGGGACUGAGACACGGCCCAGACUCCUACGGGAGGCAGCAGUGAGGAAUAUUGGACAAUGGGUGGAAGCCUGAUCCAGCCAUCCCGCGUGCAGGACGACUGCCCUAUGGGUUGUAAACUGCUUUUAUAUAGGGAUAAACCUACUCUCGUGAGAGUAGCUGAAGGUACUAUAUGAAUAAGCACCGGCUAACUCCGUG
rnacentral:rRNA from 1 species